rnacentral:tRNA from 2 species
GCGCCCAUAGCUCAGUCCGGAUAGAGCGUCUGACUACGGAUCAGAAGGCCAGGGGUUCAAAUCCUCUUGGGCGCGCCA